rnacentral:rRNA from 1 species
UACGUAGGACGCAAGCGUUAUCCGGAUUUAUUGGGUUUAAAGGGUGCGUAGGCGGACAAAUAAGUCAGUGGUGAAAUACUGUCGCUCAACGAUAGCAUUGCCAUUGAUACUGUAUGUCUUGAGUACAAUUGAGGUAGGCGGAAUGUGUAGUGUAGCGGUGAAAUGCUUAGAUAUUACACAGAACACCGAUUGCGAAGGCAGCUUACUAAAUUGUUACUGACGCUGAGGCACGAAAGCGUGGGGAUCAAACAGG